CGUAAAAAAAUAAAAUAAAAAAAAAAAUUAUCAGUAGCACAAUGCGUAAUGGUAACUAUAAAAGUUUAGUAGUUACAAAAUAUUUAAUCAUGGGUCUUGUAAAUAAAUAAUAAUAAGUCGCGACAUUUUCAAAUCAUGAAUUAAAACUACUCCAUUUUUUAUUUCGCUUAUUUUUUUUUUAAUAUUAGCAAUUACAAACACUGGGAAAAACAAAAUGCAACAAUUUUGUUAGCAGUCCUUUAUUUAUUUGUUUUUUAUUUGUUUAUUCAUUUGUUUUUUAUUUGUUUAUUCANNNNNNNNNNUGUUUAUUCAUUUGUUUUUUAUUUGUUUAUUCAUUUGUUUUUUAUUUAUUUAUUUUUAACAUUAAUUUAUAUAUAUAUAUAUAUAUAUAUAUGUAUAUGUAUAUGUAUAUGUAUAUAUGUAUAUAUGUAUAUAUGUAUAUGUCAGUGUUUAUUUUUUGAAUUGUUCAAUGUGUAAGUAAUAUAACACUUAAAGUGUGGUUAAAAGAGUUGAAAAAGAGAUAGCCAAAAUAACAAAACAAAAAAGCUUAUGAAAUACAGGAAUUUGUAUAAAGUGUGUAUGAGGUCAUGAGUACACUUGUGUAUAGUAAAUAUACGAAUAAACAAAAUGGAAAAGAACAAAAUAGAGCACUUGGUGAAAGGCUUGAGCACGUUUGAAAUGUUUAUGAAUCAAUAUAUAGUAAAAUACAAAAACUCAAAAGUUUGUUAUGUUUGUAAGGUAAAAUAAAAAAUUCAAAAAAAAAGCGAACAAACAUGUACAUAUUUGUAAAAGCAUAUACAUAUGUUUAUGCAUGUACAUACGACAGAUGUUUUUUUUUUUUUUUUUUUUUUUUUCAAUUUUAAAGAAUAAGAUAACAAAUAAUCAUGUUGAAAAAAUGGAAAAUGUAUGUCCCAAAAUGUGGAAAUAUUUCCAUGGUCUUAUUAUACAACCACAAUGUCCAUUGCAAAGUUUUGGAAAGGUUAUGAAGGUAAAAGAUUUAAGGUUUGAAGAAUUAGAAAAAUAUAAGGAUAGUUUGCAGAGGAAAUAAAAAAUAAAUCAUUACUCUUUUCUUUCUCCCUUAAAAAAAAACAAAAACAAAAAAAAGGCAGGGAGAGCAGAUAGUAUUAGAUGAAAGAGGUGAUGAAUAAAUAGAAAGGUUGAAAAGGAAAAUAAUAUAUU
rnacentral:lncRNA from 1 species